rnacentral:rRNA from 1 species
CCCGCCCCUUGGCGAGAAGUCCAUUGAACCUUAACAUUUAGAGGAAGGAGAAGUCGUAACAAGGUUUCCGUAGGUGAACCUGCGGAAGGAUCAUUG